UACAGAGGGGGCAAGCGUUGUUCGGAAUUACUGGGCGUAAAGGGCGCGUAGGCGGCCCGCUAAGUCGAACGUGAAAUCCCCGAGCUCAACUCGGGAACUGCGUCCGAUACUGGCGGGCUUGAAUCCGGGAGAGGGAUGCGGAAUUCCAGGUGUAGCGGUGAAAUGACGUAGAUAUCUGGAGGAACACCGGUGGCGAAGGCGGCAUCCUGGACCGGCAUUGACGCUGAGGCGCGAAAGCUAGGGGAGCAAACGGG
rnacentral:rRNA from 1 species